rnacentral:rRNA from 1 species
CCCUUAGAUGUUCUGGGCUGCACGCGCGCUACACUGAAGCGUUCAACGAGUAUUCACCUUGCCCGGGAGGGUUGGGUAAUCUUUUGAAAACGCUUCGUGAUGGGGAUAGAUUAUUGCAAUUAUUAAUCUUCAACGAGGAAUUCCUAGUAAGCGCGAGUCAUCAGCUCGUGCUGAUUACGUCCCUGCCCUUUGUACACACCGCCCGUCGCUCCUACCGAUUGAAUGGUCCGGUGAAAUGUUCGGACCGCGACAAGGCGGACGGUUCGCUGUCAGCUUUGCUGCGGGAAGUUCAUUAAACCUUAUCAUUUAGAGGAAGGAGAANUCGUANCA